AGCGCGCGCAGGUGGUUUCUUAAGUCUGAUGUGAAAGCCCACGGCUCAACCGUGGAGGGUCAUUGGAAACUGGGAGACUUGAGUGCAGAAGAGGAAAGUGGAAUUCCAUGUGUAGCGGUGAAAUGCGUAGAGAUAUGGAGGAACACCAGUGGCGAAGGCGACUUUCUGGUCUGUAACUGACACUGAGGCGCGAAAGCGUGGGGAGCAAACAGGAUUAGAUACCCUGGUAGUCCACGCCGUAAACGAUGAGUGCUAAGUG
rnacentral:rRNA from 1 species